UACGAAUGGGGCAAGCGUUGUUCGGAAUCACUGGGCUUAAAGCGUGCGUAGGCGGACUUGCAAGUCAGGUGUGAAAUCCCCGGGCUUAACCCGGGAAUUGCUUUUGAAACUGCAAGUCUAGAAGAUUGAAGAGGUUAGCAGAAUUCCGAGUGUAGAGGUGAAAUUCGCAGAUAUUCGGAGGAAUACCAAUGGCGUAGGCAGCUAACUGGGCAAUUUUUGACGCUGAGGCACGAAAGCGUGGGGAGCAAACAGG
rnacentral:rRNA from 1 species